AUGAAAUAUUAUUAUAACUCGCAUAAAAACAUAUGUCUCGUGAUAAUAUUUUUAACGAAAUUUUAUCAAGUAUUAAAAUCUAUUAACGUAGUAUUGUAUCUUGACCUCAGAUACUUUCUUCGCGUAUUCCGUAAGAACGCGUAAAAUCUGACGCAAAUAUUAUUGGAAAAUAUAUUUAUCCAACUCUUGGAUAUAUGUGUGAAUAAGUAUUUAUUAAGAUAAAACGUGUAGGAGAGAGAGAGAGAGAGAGAGAGAGAGAGAGAGAGAAAAGAAAAGAAAAGAAAAAGAAAAUUUUUCUUCGCUAGUUUGAUCGAUCGAUGCAUUUGAAAAAAAAAAAUUGAAAUUACGUGUUAAAUUAUCUUCGUUUCAACAUACAAUAAGGUUAGUUCGAAACUUUGAUUUUCGUAUCGAACGAAUUUUCGCGGGAAUAUGAGGAUCGUUGGAAACGAUCGUGAAAAAUAUCGUUUAAUAAAAGGAGGAGGAAGAAGAAGAAGAAGAAGAAGAAACAAAGAAAAAAAAAAUGAAAUGUCUCGUCAAAUAUUCUUCAUUUCGACGUACAAUACGAAUCUUCUGUGUUUUCUUGGAAACAAAUUUUUACGUGAAAAAUUAAAAUCUUAAGAAUACUACUCGCGUACGAGUUAAUGCGUAAUAGAAAAAAAAAACAGAAAAAAGAGAGGAAAAAAAAAGGAAAAAAAGAAAGGAGAAGAAGAAGAAGAUAAAGAAAAAAGAAAAAAACCACAGCAAAAGAAGAAGAAAAAAGAUUCCAUUGUCCGAACUACGAGGAAAACGAUAAAAAGAGACGACUCUCGAUUUGUUACGACAGAGUCCUCCUGUGGUCGUGACAAGCUUUCAAUUUAUCUAGGGAAAGAAAAGCGUUGUGCGUGAUUUAGGAGGGGGAAAGAAAAACAAAAAAAGAAAAAGAAGAGAAAAAUCACUUACUUGAAUUCAAUGAUCCAUUUCAAUUUAUCCAAAUCGUUCUGUGUGCAAAAGUACAUGUAAUCACCACCAGCGUGCCAGGGGUAAAACGAAUGAUAACGAAUCAUAGCAAGUGCUUCCUUAGGUAAUUUACAAUUAUUAUGAACCAUAACACGAUAAAGAUAUUCGUCAUGACCCCAGGACAUCAUUAAAUUGUCUAUACCACAUUGAGGUUUGUAUAUUCCAUAUUUUGUACUAUAACAUAUAUAUAUAUAUAUAUAUAUAUAUAUAUAUAUACAUAUCAUUAAUAUUAAAUAUGUAUAUAGAUUUUUUGUUUUUUAUUAUUUAUAAUUUUCGAUAAUUCAUACUUGUAACGAGAAUCUUUGCCAUCAGGAUUAUUUUCAAAACUUGUGUCCCUAUAGACUAUGGAAUCAGCCCAUGCACAACCAACAGGAAAUGUAUCACCCACAACAGCCCAUUGUGGUUCCCCAUAGAACGCCAUAAUCUAAAAUAUUUAUUAAUGAACAAUCAUUAACAAACACAUGACUUUGUUUUCUUUUUUUAUAUCUUUUUUUUUUCUUCUUUUAUUUAUUUAUUUUUCUUUUUUCUUUCUUUCUUUUUUUCUUUUUCUUUUUUUAUUUUUUCUUGUAAUUAGGGUAAAAUAGGGUAAAAUAGGGUAGGUCAAUAAAAAAAUCUUUGAAUAUAUAAUGUACCUUUCCUAGAUCAUGUAUCAGUCCAGUUAAAUGGAACCAAUCUAAAUCAGGAUGAUCUUUUCUUAUAGAUUCGGCCGUUUGAAAAGCAUGAACGAUAUUCGGUAAAUUUGUGUCUGGAUCGCUUUCAUCGAUUAGAUCAUUUAAUUUGAUAAGAGCAUCUUUAAUCGUCAAUCUGGCUUUGUUGAAUUGUAGCCAUUCUUUCAUACGAGCUAAUAAAUUUGGAUUCAAGUAUUAAAAGCUGAUAAUAUAUGAAAAACGAUUUGAUAUUAUUCAAGAUAAUAGAUCAAUGAUCUAGAAAAUUAAUUUUAAACGAUCGAGUACGAAUUCGAUCAUUUUAAUUGUUGUAAUAAUAAGUAUAUUUUUGAGAGGAUGCUUGAAAAAUUGCUCGAAAGAAGAUUGUGGUAGAUUUUACGUCAUUGGUUAAGGGUUAAUUCGCGAUCGAUUAAAGAAAAUAAGGAAAAUGUCGAUCUUGAGAAAUGAUGAUUAAUUUAAAUGAUCU